rnacentral:rRNA from 1 species
GUAGGUGAACCUGNGGAAGGAUCAUUAUNGAAUAAACUUGAACAGGCUGUUUUGCUGGUCCCUCGGGGCAUGUGCACGCUUGUCUCAUCUUUAUCAUCUCUCCAACUGUGCACCUCUUGUAGACCCUGGCUGUUUUGGAUGUUUUUCAUUCGAGUGGGGACUGCUGUGCUGUGAAAGUUCAGCUUUGCCCCCUUUUCAUAUCCAGGUCUAUGUUGUUUGUUUAUCACAACCUCUCAAUAAGUGUUUAGAAUGUUGGAAUGUACCUAUAAAAGUUGAAUAUACAACUUUCAGCAACGGAUCUCUUGGCUCUCGCAUCGAUGAAGAACGCAGCGAAAUGCGAUAAGUAAUGUGAAUUGCAGAAUUCAGUGAAUCAUCGAAUCUUUGAACGCAUCUUGCGCUCCUUGGUAUUCCGAGGAGCAUGCCUGUUUGAGUGUCAUUUAACUUCUCAACCACAUACAUUGUCGGUGAUGUGGCUUGGAUGGUGGGGGUUCUCUGCAGGCCCUUCUUGUCUGCUCCCCUGAAAUGCAUUAGCAGUAUCUGAGCUAGCUGCUGUAGGUGUGAUAAAUCUAUCUAUGCCUCUGGUAUGCUGCAUGAACGGAUUGCACCGCUUCAAACGAUGUAACAACAUGACAAAUUUGACCUCAAAUCAGG